rnacentral:rRNA from 1 species
AAUGAACGCUGGCGGCAGGCCUAAAACAUGCAAGUCGAACGCCCUAGCAAUAGGGAGUGGCGCACGGGUGCGUAACAUGUGGGAAUAUGCCUUUUGGUACGGAACAACGUUUGGAAACGAACGCUAAUACCGUAUGGUCCCUCCGGGGUAAAGAUUUAGCGCCAAAAGAUUAGCCCGCACUGGAUUAGCUAGUUGGUAAGGUAAUGGCUUACCAAGGCGACGAUCUAUAGCUGUUAUGAGAGGAAGAUCAGCCACACUGGGACUGAGACACGGCCCAGACUCCUACGGGAGGCAGCAGUUAGGAAUAUUGGACAAUGGGCGCAAGCCUGAUCCAGCCAUGCCGCGUGAGUUAUGAAGGCCUUCGGGUUGUAAAGCUCUUUAGCCGACGAAUAUAAUGACUGUAGUCGGAGAAUAAGCCCCGGCUAACUUCGUGCCAGCCGCCGCCGUAAUAC